rnacentral:rRNA from 1 species
GCAGCGCGGGAGCAAUCCUGGCAGCGAGUGGCGAACGGGUGAGUAAUAUAUCGGAACGUGCCCUAGAGUGGGGGAUAACUAGUCGAAAGAUUAGCUAAUACCGCAUACGAUCUAUGGAUGAAAGUGGGGGAUCGCAAGACCUCAUGCUCGUGGAGCGGCCGAUAUCUGAUUAGCUAGUUGGUAGGGUAAAAGCCUACCAAGGCGACGAUCAGUAGCUGGUCUGAGAGGACGACCAGCCACACUGGGACUGAGACACGGCCCAGACUCCUACGGGAGGCAGCAGUGGGGAAUUUUGGACAAUGGGGGCAACCCUGAUCCAGCAAUGCCGCGUGUGUGAAGAAGGCCUUCGGGUUGUAAAGCACUUUUGUACAGAACGAAACGGUCUGAACUAAUACUUUGGCCGCGGUAAUA